ensembl:lncRNA
CGGCACGGCACGCGGCCUCCUGGGACGCAGCGUUUCUGCCAGGUGUUGGUCUGACACACAGUGUAUGCCGUGUUAAUUGGUUUCCUGGGGAGCUUGUGUGAGCCGGGGCCUCGUUAUGCAAGGCCUCUUCCAGAGCAAAGCAGGAGGGAUAAGGCCAUCAAGAAGGAGGAAACAAGGGCCAGGGGACGUUCCCAGCUGGAGCAGAGAUGCCCCCGUGGGAAGUGCAGCUUCUUCCCUGCCCUGAGACCACGCCUGGCCAGGACAAACCAAAACAUGCACCCCAGGAUGGACAGUGGGAUGCGUUCCUUAGGAUUGCAGCUCUGGGAGCUGCAGCUGCUGCUAUGUGUUGCAUCCAUAACCACACAGGGUGAUGCAUUUCCCUUUAAGGCCAGGACAAAUGCAUCUUGCUGCUCCUAGGCACAACUUGGAGAAGAAUUAUUGCCUCCACAGGGACAAUUUUUGCCAAGCCAUGGCUUCAUCACCUUUCUCUUGUCUCCAGACCAGGCUGCUGCUUGCUGUUGGUUUCUCUGUGUUUGCUUCAACAAUUAUCUCCUGCUCCCCGCCACUCCUCCAGCCACUAGAGUUUCAUUGAUAUUUUCAGCAGCUGCAUUUGAUGACUGCCAAGUUUUACUCGCUGUUCCCAGCUCUCCAGUUUCCACAUGUUGUGUUCAGCUGCCAUCUCUCCCUGCACCUCUCACCGGGGUGAAGGGGAAGCCCAGGGCUGCCCACGGGUCCCAGCGAUGCCAGCAGCAAGAUAUCCCCAUGUUCCCCAGCUCUGGGGUCCUGCUGGUCCCCCACUGCUGCCCCUGGACAUCCUCUGGGUUUGUCACUCAGGAUGGAUCCCGUGCCUCAGAAGCGCUGCUGUCUCUAUUUGGUGGCAAUGACCGCUGGAGCAGCAGAGAUGGUGACAGAGCUCCCCUCUGCUGUCCUGGAAGAGAGGCAGAGCAAUGGGACGGGAACACCAGGACAGUGCCAGGUGAGUGCCAGCCCCGAGCAGCAUCACCCCUGCAUGUUACUGAGUGCACCCCCAGGUCUGGCACACACAUCCUGGUCCAGUGACGCUGCUGCCUUCCUACCACCACAGUUCAACCUGCCUAAUGGAAGCUGUUUAUAUGCAAAAUCCCCAGGAAAAAAAAAACGCAGCCUGUUUAUGGGAACGGAACCGCCCCAGCGUGAAUUAUUCAUGGGCUCUUGCGAGCUCAUUCUCAAAAUAUCAAUUUCUCCCAGUCAUGCCAAGCAGCACUUAAGCCUGAAAGCCCUGUUAAAAUGAAAGGCCCAGGGAGCCAGACAGGGCAUGGGGCUGCGUGCUGCCUACGGGGGCACCAAGAUCAGGGGCACAUGGCCACCACUCCUGGUGCCCAGCCUAGCCCGGGCACCCAGCACUCGCUGGAGGCACCCCUCAUGGCACAGCCCUAUGGCUCUGACAUUGCCCCAGUGAGGGCAGUAGGGAACCUGCAGGCAACAGCUAGGCUGGAGCAGCGUUACUAGUACUAAUUAAAAUGUAGAUGCUCCCCAAACUGCAACUUGGAGCUUCUCUGACUACUGCUAAAUCAAAAGCAGCAAGGCAGGGAGGCAGGGAGCUGUGCAGCAGGUGCUGCUGGCAGCAGGGGAGCCCCACUGGCUCUGCUCCCAUCUGUGGGAUGCUCUGUCCUUUGGGAUUGUGCUUGGCUUUAGGAGGUGCCAGCAUGCACACCUCCCUCUGUAUGUGUCCUUACCUUUACCCCAGCAGGGCUGUUCCCCACUUGCAGGCUGUGAUGCUGCAGCAAACAUCCUCACAGUUCUUACUUCACAGCCCUUGUAUCACCUGCACAAAGACAGGCACAGCUUUUGCAUCCCCUGAUUGUUUUUGGAUGGAAAUGAUAAAUGCCUUUGGUCCAUGGUACGUAGUUCUGGUCCAACUUUCACUCCUGUCCCAAAGGCAGCAGAUGUGCAUGGCAGCACUGUGCUGGGACACGUACCACCAGCCCCCCGCCUGCUGUGCCAUCACAGCACUGAGUGGAUGUCCACUGAUUGCUCAAGCUCAGCACCUCCCUGGCUGCUCCCUGCUGUUUGCACCGUCUCUUCUUCCUCACUCUCCUCAUCCGUGUUGAUCUCCUUCUCCAUGCAUUUGGGCACGGAGGAUGGAGGUGUAAGGAUGGCUUCCUGUACUUCAUGCCAGCGUGGGAAAGGCUGAGGCCGCAUCCCAGCCGCUGCAAAGCCCCCCGGUGCCUCCGCCUGACCCCGCCAUGGGGAAGCAGCGCUGCCUCCUCA